rnacentral:rRNA from 1 species
UGGCCCAGAUCGUUUACCGUGAAAAAAUUAGAGUGUUCAAAGCAGGCAGAUCCAAUUUUCUGCCACCGAAUACAUUAGCAUGGGAUAAUGGAAUAGGACCCUGUCCUCCUAUUUUCAGUUGGUUUUGGCAGCGCGAGGACUAGGGUAAUGAUUAAUAGGGAUAGUUGGGGGCAUUAAUAUUUAAUUGUCAGAGGUGAAAUUCUUGGAUUUAUGAAAGAUUAACUUCUGCGAAAGCAUCUGCCAAGGAUGUUUUCAUUAAUCAAGAACGAAAGUUAGGGGAUCGAAGACGAUCAGAUACCGUCGUAGUCUUAACCAUAAACGAUGCCGACCAGCGAUUAGGAGACGUUGAAUACAAAACACCACCAUCGGUGCGGUCGUCCUUGGCGUCGGUCUUUCGGGGCCGGCGCGGGGACGGCUUAGCCCGGUGGCACCGGUGAAUGACUCCCCUAGCAGCUUGUGAGA